rnacentral:rRNA from 1 species
CAGCCGCCGCGGUAAUACCGGCGGCCCGAGUGGCGGUCACUAUUAUUGGGCUUAAAGCGUCCGUAGCCGGGUUGGGAAGUCCUCCGGGAAAUCUGGCCGCUUAACGGUCAGAAUGCCGGAGGAUACUCCCAGCCUAGGGAGCGGGAGAGGCCGAGGGUAUUCCCGGAGUAGGGGUGAAAUCCUAUAAUCCCGGGAGGACCACCUGUGGCGAAGGCGCUCGGCUGGAACGCGUCCGACGGUGAGGGACGAAGGCCAGGGGAGCAAACCGGAUUAGAUACCCGGGUAGUCCUGGCUGUAAACGAUGCGGACUUUGUGUCGGACAAGCUAUGAGCUUGUCCGGUGCCGGAGGGAAACCGUUAAGUCCGCCGCCUGGGGAGUACGGCCGCAAGGCUGAAACUUAAAGGAUUGGCGGG